GGGGAAUAUUGCACAAUGGGGGAAACCCUGAUGCAGCGACGCCGCGUGGAGGAAGAAGGUCUUCGGAUUGUAAACUCCUGUUGUUGAGGAAGAUAAUGACGGUACUCAACAAGGAAGUGACGGCUAACUACGUGCCAGCAGCCGCGGUAAAACGUAGGUCACAAGCGUUGUCCGGAAUUACUGGGUGUAAAGGGAGCGCAGGCGGGAAGACAAGUUGGAAGUGAAAUCCAUGGGCUCAACCCAUGAACUGCUUUCAAAACUGUUUUUCUUGAGUAGUGCAGAAGUAGGCGGAAUUCCCGGUGUAGCGGUGGAAUGCGUAGAUAUCGGGAGGAACACCAGUGGCGAAGGCGGCCUACUGGGCACCAACUGACGCUGAGGCUCGAAAGUGUGGGUAGCAAACAGGAUUAGAUACCUUGGUAGUCCACACUGUAAACGAUGAUUACUAGGUGUUGGAGGAUUGACCCCUUCAGUGCCGCAGUUAACACAAUAAGUAAUCCACCUGGGGAGUACGACCGCAAGGUUGAAACUCAAAGGAAUUGACGGGGGCCCGCACAAGCAGUGGAGUAUGUGGUUUAAUUCGACGCAACGCGAAGAACCUUACCAAGUCUUGACAUCCCUUGACGAUGCUGGAAACAGUAUUUCUCUUCGGAGCAAGGAGACAGGUGGUGCAUGGUUGUCGUCAGCUCGUGUCGUGAGAUGUUGGGUUAAGUCCCGCAACGAGCGCAACCCUUAUGGUCAGUUACUACGCAAGAGGACUCUGGCCAGACUGCCGUUGACAAAACGGAGGAAGGUGGGGAUGACGUCAAAUCAUCAUGCCCUUUAUGACUUGGGCUACACACGUACUACAAUGGCGUUAAACAAAGAGAAGCAAGACCGCGAGGUGGAGCAAAACUCAGAAACAACGUCCCAGUUCGGACUGCAGGCUGCAACUCGCCUGCACGAAGUCGGAAUUGCUAGUAAUCGCGGAUCAGCAUGCCACGGUGAAUACGUUCCCG
rnacentral:rRNA from 1 species